rnacentral:ncRNA from 1 species
CUCAUAAAUUACAUUUGUGACCUAUGUUAGUAAUAGCAUAUGGAAAAAUCGGAUGAAUUGCUGGAAAGCUAACGGACAAUUUAUAGUCCUAUGCCAAUCAGCAGCCAAGCCCUUCAAGCGUGAAGGGAAGGUUCAGAGACUAGUUGGUACAGCACGAUCUUGCUGUGUAAUACAACAUUAGCGUCCGACAUCCCACCGCAUUGCGAGGAUGAUGAUAUAGUCCAGCCCUUUACGAAAGUAUUGG